CCUUCGGAGGGCGCUUACCACUUUGUGAUUCAUGACUGGGGUGAAGUCGUAACAAGGUAACCGUAGGGGAACCUGCGGUUGGAUCACCUCCUUACCUUAAAGAAGC
rnacentral:rRNA from 1 species